AGAAGUUUGCAAACUAGAUGAACAAGUUUUGGCACAUGCUUGAGAUGUCUACUCUCAUAACCAUGAAGCAGAUGCCGCUGACGGAUCAGGGAGCAAUGGUGGCUACUACAGAGAAGGAGAUAGGCAAAGAAACAAGUUUGGAAAGGAAACAGAAGUAAUUCCAUCUUGAAAUAUCUUCAUAAAGUGCCAAAGCUCAAAGUUGCAGACUGAGAGAGCAAACACAUACUAGCUGCAUUCAAGAAUGGAAAAGCACAAGGAAAAGUUGCAUCCAGCUCUUCAGGGUUUAGGGAUGAGAUAGCCACCAUAACCCUGUGUGUUGAUGAUGACAGUACCUCCACAACCG